rnacentral:rRNA from 1 species
AUUGAACGCUGGCGGCAGGCCUAACACAUGCAAGUCGAGCGAGAGGCGGACGGGUGAGUAAUGUAUGGGGACUGCCCGCUAGAGGGGGGUAACAACUGGAAAAGGUGACUACUACCGCAUACUGUCGGAUGUCACCUAUGGGAUUAGCUAGUGGUUGAGGUAAUGGCUUACCUAGGCGACGAACCCUAGCUGGUCUGAGAGGAUGACCAGCCACACUGGGACUGAGACACGGCCCAGACUCCUACGGAGGCAGCAGUGGGGAAUAUUGCACAAUGGGCGCAAGCCUGAUGCAGCCAUGCCGCGUGUAUGAAGAAGGCCCUAGGGUUGUAAAGUACUUUCAGUGGGGAGGCGUUACCGACAGAAGAAGCACCGGCUAACUCCGUGCCAGCCGCCGCGGUAAUUC